ensembl:lncRNA
CACUAACAUUCUGGAAAUGAGAGGAACAUAUUUUUUUUUAACAUUUGGUAGCUAAAGUUACAAACAUUGAUAUCUGCAGCAGCAAGUUCUCGGUUUUGCCACUUGUUUUACUGCCAUGGAAUCAACUAACAUUGUCUAUGGGCUCCAAUGUGAGUACAACAGCUGGCAUCGAGUGACCAGGCAAGAAGAGUUACUGACUGGAGGAGGGAAGAUGGUAGAACUGAAGGAUCACCAGCAACAGGAGAUGGAGGGCAAGCUGCAACAUCACUCAUGCCUGACGUUGAUGGAACAUACAUUCCCAUCUUUGAAAGUUCAAAACGUGACGAUUUGUAUGUAGGGAACUUAUUAAUGCUUUUAUUAUAAACUGUUUUUGAACAAUAAAUAUACAGUAAUUUUA